GAUGAAGAACGCAUCGAAAUGCGAUAAGUAAUGCGAAUUGCAGAAUUUCCGUGAGUCAUCGAAUCUUUGAACGCACAUUGCGCCCACUGGUAUUCCGGUGGGCAUGCCUGUUCGAGCGUCAUUAUCCUCCCUCAAACCCCGGGUUUGGUGUUGGACCGAAGUUGUGUGAACAACUGGUCUAAAAGACAAUGACGGCGUCCGUGGGACCCUCGGUGCAACGAGCUUUUAGGAGCACGCGUCGAGUUUCAAGGACCUUCCGGGCCGGUCUCCUUUACCAUUUUACAAGGUUGACCUCGGAUCAGGUAGGAAUACCCGCUGAACUUAAGCAUAUCAAUAAGCGGAGGA
rnacentral:misc_RNA from 1 species